UGUUGCCUCGGCGGAUCAGCCCGCUCCCGGUAAAACGGGACGGCCCGCCAGAGGACCCCUAA
rnacentral:rRNA from 1 species